AGGACGAACGCUGGCGGCAGGCCUAACACAUGCAAGUCGAGCGCCCGUAGCAAUACGGGAGCGGCAGACGGGAUAGUAACACGUGGGAACGCGCCCUUCGGUUCGGAAUAACUCAGGGAAACUUGAGCUAAUACCGAAUACGCCCUUACGGGGAAAGAUUUAUUGCCGAAGGAACGGCCCGCGUCCGAUUAGCUAGUUGGUGAGGUAAUGGCUCACCAAGGCUACGAUCGGUAGCUGGUCUGAGAGGAUGACCAGCAUCACUGGGACUGAGACACGGCCCAGACUCCUACGGGAGGCAGCAGUGGGGAAUAUUGGACAAUGGGCGCAAGCCUGAUCCAGCCAUGCCGCGUGGAUGAUGAAGGCCUUAGGGUUGUAAAGUCCUUUUAACGGGGAGAUAAUGACGGUACCCGUAGAAUAAGCCCCGGCUAACUUCGUGCCAGCAGCCGC
rnacentral:rRNA from 1 species